ensembl:lncRNA
CCCUUGUGUAUUUAAGCCGUGUGUCUCCUGUCGUGUCAUUGUCUAUCGUCGUGGAUGUUCAUAGUUUCAUGCCUGCUGGUUUUCCCCCUGGUUCCUGUGUGUUUUUGCCCCUUGGCCUUUUCAUUUUGGAUCUUGUGACUAUUAAAGUCUUUUGUUUUCUGUGAAGUCUGCAUUUGAGUCCUGCCUCCCUGACACAAAGAGGAGGUUCUAUAACAAACAUGGACAAAGAGGGGAUCUACUUCCGCCACGACAUUUACAUGUCCCUUUAACGACAGAGGAAACAGAGGUCACAUAUGGACAGAGGGAGGAGGACAGAGGAAUCCACUUCAUGCACAAUGAAGACGUGGUCCUAAGAACCUUGAAACCUGCCGAAGACGUUUUUACAUUACAGGUCAUUUAGCU